CCCCGUGAACCUUUACUAUAGCUUGACACUGAACAUUGAGCCUUGAUGUGUAGGAUAGGUGGGAGGCUUUGAAGUGUGGACGCCAGUCUGCAUGGAGCCGACCUUGAAAUACCACCCUUUAAUGUUUGAUGUUCUAACGUGGACCCGUGAUCCGGGUUGCGGACAGUGUCUGGUGGGUAGUUUGACUGGGGCGGUCUCCUCCUAAAGAGUAACGGAGGAGCACGAAGGUUGGCUAAUCCUGGUCGGACAUCAGGAGGUUAGUGCAAUGGCAUAAGCCAGCUUGACUGCGAGCGUGACGGCGCGAGCAGGUGCGAAAGCAGGUCAUAGUGAUCCGGUGGUUCUGAAUGGAAGGGCCAUCGCUCAACGGAUAAAAGGUACUCCGGGGAUAACAGGCUGAUACCGCCCAAGAGUUCAUAUCGACGGCGGUGUUUGGCACCUCGAUGUCGGCUCAUCACAUCCUGGGGCUGAAGUAGGUCCCAAGGGUAUGGCUGUUCGCCAUUUAAAGUGGUACGCGAGCUGGGUUUAGAACGUCGUGAGACAGUUCGGUCCCUAUCUGCCGUGGGCGCUGGAGAACUGAGGGGGGCUGCUCCUAGUACGAGAGGACCGGAGUGGACGCAUCACUGGUGUUCGGGUUGUCAUGCCAAUGGCACUGCCCGGUAGCUAAAUGCGGAAGAGAUAAGUGCUGAAAGCAUCUAAGCACGAAACUUGCCCCGAGAUGAGUUCUCCCUGAGACUUAGAGUCUCCUGAAGGAACGUUGAAGACGACGACGUUGAUAGGCCGGGUGUGUAAGCGCAGCGAUGCGUUGAGCUAACCGGUACUAAUGAACCGUGAGGCUUAACCUU
rnacentral:rRNA from 1 species